GUGCUCACUUCGGCUGCACACAUGCUAAAAUUGGAACGAUACAGAGACCAGCAUGGCCCCUGUGCAAGGAGGACGCACACAUUUGAGAAGCAUUCCAUAUAAAA